GAAAAUAAUACGGUCGAGGGAGAAAACAAUAUGAUUGAGCAUGGAAACUACACAAUGAAUACACAAAGCCAUGUUCAGGAUAAGGUUUUGCAUCCACCAAUCAAGCAUUCCACUGUAGACAAGAAUAAGCAAACUUUGGCUCAACAUGUUUAUGGGAAACAAACCAAGAUUAUUCACACUGAG